GGCAGUACUCCGCGGAAUUGGUGUAUAUAAAGGAAACGGCCACGUUCGACAGUCUCUUUGUGUUUUCUACCAUGUGAGUAAGAAUAAUGGACAUUACAUGAUCGUAAUAAGAAACUAAUUCUCUCGGGUGAUAAUGCGCGCCAUAUACUGACUUUCAGGAUGGGAUCCCUGAGGUCGUGCGGAGGGAGUCCUGGCACUGAUUUCACUUGCUGAAAAUCUAGGUGGCCUGGCUAUGCCUGAACUACAGUGAAGAGAAUCUGCAUUGACUGAUUCCAAUAUGUGCUGCAAUAGAACGAAUACUUUGGUAGCAGAUGGAAGUUUGAUGUUCUGAUUUCAGGGUAUCAUCUAUAAUCUGAAGACUGUCCAACCAGAUAUGCAGUUGACUUUGUCUUGGUGCACAUUCUUAGAUGACAAUAGUGUUUCCCAAGUUACAAUAUAACUAACAAUUAAUAAAAUUUUGGUUUCAAACCUG